GCGCCAGUAGCUCAGCUGGAUAGAGCAACUCCCUUCUAAGGAGUAGGUCGUUGGUUCGAAUCCAACCUGGCGUA
rnacentral:tRNA from 1 species